CCUACGGGAGGCAGCAGUGGGGAAUCUUGCGCAAUGGGCGAAAGCCUGACGCAGCAACGCCGCGUGAGGGACGAAGGUUUUCUGAAUUGUAAACCUCUUUCAGCAGGGAAGAUAAUGACGGUACCUGCAGAAGAAGCACCGGCUAACUACGUGCCAGCAGCCGCGGUGAUACGUAGGGUGCAAGCGUUGUCCGGAUUUAUUGGGCGUAAAGAGCUCGUAGGCGGUUUGGUAAGUCGGUUGUGAAAUCCCCAGGCUCAACCUGGGGCCUGCAUUCGAUACUGCCAUGACUAGAGUUUGGUAGGGGACCACGGAAUUCCUGGUGUAGCGGUGGAAUGCGCAGAUAUCAGGAGGAACACCAGUAGCGAAGGCGGUGGUCUGGGCCAAUACUGACGCUGAGGAGCGAAAGCGUGGGGAGCAAACAGGAUUAGAUACCCUGGUAGUCCACGCCGUAAACGGUGGGCACUAGGUGUGGGGACUAUUCAACGGUUUCCGCGCCGACGCUAACGCAUUAAGUGCCCGCCUGGGGAGUACGGCCGCAAGGCUAAAACGUCAAAGGAAUUAGACGG
rnacentral:rRNA from 1 species